rnacentral:rRNA from 1 species
UUGAUUCUGCCAGAGACUCAACACGGGUGUGAUUCUGCCAGUAGUCAUAUGCUUGUCUCAAAGAUUAAGCCAUGCAUGUCUAAGUAUAAGCAAUUGUACGGUGAAACUGCGAAUGGCUCAUUAAAUCAGUUAUCGUUUAUUUGAUAGUACCUUACUACUUGGAUAACCGUGGUAAUUCUAGAGCUAAUACAUGCUGAAAACCUCGACUUCGGAAGGGGUGUAUUUAUUAGAUAAAAAGCCAAUGCCCUUCGGGGCUCUUUGGUGAUUCACAAUAACUUAACGAAUCGCAUGGCCUUGCGCCGGCGAUGGUUCAUUCAAAUUUCUGCCCUAUCAACUUUCGAUUGUUGGGUAGUGGCCAACAAUGGUGUUUACGGGUAACGGGAAAUUAGGGUUUGAUUCCGGAGAGGGAGCCUGAGAAACGGCUACCACAUCCAAGGAAGGCAGCAGGCGCGCAAAUUAUCCAAUCCCGACACGGGGAGAUAGUGACAAUAAAUACUGAUAUAGGGCCCUUUAGGGUCUUAUAAUUGGAAUGAGUAGUAUUUAAAUCCCCUUAACGAGGAACAAUUGGAGGGCAAGUCUGGUGCCAGCANCCGCGGUAAUUCCAGCUCCAAUAGCGUAUAUUAAAUUUGUUGCAGUUAAAAAGCUCGUCGUUGAAACUUGGAUCUGGUCGGUCGGUCCGCCUCACCGCGUGCACUGAUUCGACCGGAUCUUUCCUUCUGGGGAAGCUCAUGCCCUUCAUUGGGCGUGUAGGGGAACCAGGACUUUUACUUUGAAAAAAUUAGAGUGUUCAAAGCAGGCCUAUGCUCGAAUACAUUAGCAUGGAAUAAUAGAAUAGGACGUGUGGUUCUAUUUUGUUGGUUUCUAGGACCGCCGUAAUGAUUAAUAGGGAUAGUCGGGGGCAUCAGUAUUCCGUUGUCAGAGGUGAAAUUCUUGGAUUUACGGAAGACUAACUACUGCGAAAGCAUUUGCCAAGGAUGUUUUCAUUAAUCAGUGAACGAAAGUUAGGGGAUCGAAGACGAUCAGAUACCGUCGUAGUCUUAACCAUAAACUAUGCCGACUAGGGAUCGGACGGUGUUAUUAUUUUGACCCGUUCGGCACCUUACGAGAAAUCAAAGUUUUUGGGUUCUGGGGGGAGUAUGGUCGCAAGGCUGAAACUUAAAGAAAUUGACGGAAAGGCACCACCAGGAGUGGAGCCUGCGGCUUAAUUUGACUCAACACGGGGAAACUCACCAGGUCCAGACACAAUGAGGAUUGACAGAUUGAGAGCUCUUUCUUGAUUUUGUGGGUGGUGGUGCAUGGCCGUUCUUAGUUGGUGGAGUGAUUUGUCUGCUUAAUUGCGAUAACGAACGAGACCUUAACCUGCUAAAUAGCCAGGCUAGCUUUGGCUAGUCGCCGGCUUCUUAGAGGGACUAUCGGCUCAAGCCGAUGGAAGUUUGAGGCAAUAACAGGUCUGUGAUGCCCUUAGAUGUUCUGGGCCGCACGCGCGCUACACUGACCGAACCAACGAGUAUACUCCUUGGCCGAAAGGUCUGGGUAAUCUUGUUAAAUUCGGUCGUGCUGGGGAUAGAGCAUUGCAAUUAUUGCUCUUCAACGAGGAAUGCCUAGUAAGCGCAAGUCAUCAGCUUGCGUUGAUUACGUCCCUGCCCUUUGUACACACCGCCCGUCGCUACUACCGAUUGAAUGGCUCAGUGAGGCGUUCGGACUGGCUCAAAGAGGUCGGCAACGACCACUCAAGGCCGGAAAGUUCGUCAAACUUGGUCAUUUAGAGGAAGUAAAAGUCGUAAGUUU